CGCACCACAAGCCGCAUGAGGCGAGGUACAAGCCGGCGGGGGCCCGGGCGCGGUCCGCCUCGCCGAACCACGCGCCGGGGCGGCAGAGGCCGACGGCGGUGCCCAAGUUCGGGGCGUGGGACGAGCAGAGUGCGGGGGCGCAGGGGUACACGAUGAUGUUCGACCGGGUGAAGCAUGACCGGGAGGCGGCCCGCCGCGGCGGGGUGCCGAACCUCCCUCGCCGCCGCAUGCCGUCGCCGGAGAGCUACACGGCCGCGAGGCGGCCCCGGCACACCCCCUUCUACUCCAAGAUGUUCGGGUGCUUGAUCCCUCACACCAAGGACUGAGACGAGGCCGUCGGAGGCUCCGGACGCGACCUUGACCUUACUUACGUGUGUGUGUGUCAUUUCUGUUUUUUCUCCGUGGGCCUGGAGAGGAUUGUUCUUCUUCUCCGAGGCUGGUCUAUUCGUUCUUCUCUUUCUUGCUCGCUCUUAUGUUGGGUUGGUUUUUGCACGGUGGUUUGUGGGGCCUUUGUACGUACGGUGGGUUGUGAUGUAUGAUUAUGUGCAUAUUGUUCUACUGUUUUGCUCAAAAAAGAAGAAGAAAAAAUGUUCUACUGCUUUUCUGGGAUCUCA